CGGGGGUAGAGCACUGAAUGGGCUAGGGGGCCUACCAGCUUACUGAACCCAAAUAAACUCCGAAUACCGUAUGAUUAGCGUAGCAGUGAGACUGCGAGGGAUAAGCCCCGUGGUCAAAAGGAAAAAAGUCCAGAUCGUCAGCUAAGGGCCCUAAACGGAAGCUAAGUGUGAAACGAUGUGAAUUCGCGUAAACAGCCAGGAGGUUGGCUUGGAAGCAGCCACCCUUUAAAAAGUGCGUAAUAGCUUACUGGCCGAAUGUGAAUUUGCGCGGAAAAUGUAAGGGGGCUUAAGCUUCCUCCCGAAGCUACGGGAUCCCACAAGAGUGGUGAUCGGUAGGGGAGCGUCGUAUAUGCGGUGAAGCCAAAGCGGAAGCCUUGGUGGAGCGUAUUCGAGUGAGAAUGCAGACAUGAGUAGCGAUAACAGGGGUGAGAAUCCCCUGCGCCGAAAACCUAAGGUUUCUCCGGCCAUGUUCGUCAGACGGAGGUUAGGCGGUCCCUAAGGCCAGGCCAGAAGGCGUAGCCGAUGGACAUCGGGUAGACAUUCCCGACCCAGGUGCAAGUGCGAUGGAGGGACGCCUCUUAAUGUUUCAUCCCACACCGUUGGUUGUUGUGGGCUACCGGGAUAACCCAGCUGUUUAAUAGAUGGCUUUUCAAAGGGUGGGGCCGGGGGGAAGGGAAUUCUUCGGAUGAACCGAACUGAAACAAAGGGGGGCCGAGAAAAGCUUCUAAGCAUAACUUGUAUCUGACCGUACUGUAAACCGACACAGGUAGGUGAGUCGAGGAGACUCAGGCGUUCGAGAGAACUCUCGUUAAGGAACUAGGCAAAUGGGCCCCGUAACUUUGGAAUAAGGGGCGCCCCGCAAGGGGCCGCAGCAAAGCAUCCCAGGCGACUGUUUACCAAAAACACAGGUCUCUGCUAAGGUGAAAACCGAUGUAUAGGGGCUGACGCCUGCCCAAUGCCAGUAGAUUAAUCUGAGUUGUUAGGAGCAAUCCAAAGCAUCGAGGUGAAGUCCUGGUGAAUGGCGGCCGUAACUCUAACGGUCCUAAGGUAGCGAAAUUCCUUGUCGGCUAAAUACCGACCCGCAUGAAAGGCGUAACGACUUGGGAACUGUCUCAACGAGAAGCUCGGUGAAAUUGUAGCACCCGUGAAGAUGCGGGUUACGCGCAGUAGGACGGAAAGACCCCGUGGAGCUUUACUACACCUUCGGAUUGUUGUUUGGAUGUAGAUGUAGAGCGUAGGUGGGAGCUUCGGCACCAAUGGAACACCACCCUUCUACAUCUGGAUAACUAACUUGGCCCGUAAUCCGGGUCGAAGACACUCUGUGGCGGGUAGUUUGACUGGGGCGGUCGCCUCCCAAAAAGUAACGGAGGCGUACAAAGGCACACUCAGCCUGGUCGGAAAUCAGGCGUCGAGCGUAUAGGUAUAUAGUGUGCUUGACUGUGAGACAAACAAGUCGAGCAGGGACGAAAGUCGGUCUAAGUGACCCUCUGGUGGUGCGUGGGCACGCCAGGGUUCAACGGAUAAAAGCUACCCCGGGGAUAACAGGCUGAUCUUGCCCGAGCGCUCAUAGCGACGGCAUGGUUUGGCACCUCGAUGUCGGCUCGUCACAUCCUGGGGCUGUACAAGGUCCCAAGGGUUCCGGAGUUCACGGAUUAAAGUGGCACGCGAGCUGGGUUCAGAACGGCGUGAGCCAGUUCGGUCCCUAUCCACUGUGCGCGUAGGAAAUUUGAGAGGAGUCGCUCCUAGUACGAGAGGACCGGAGUGAACCGACCUCUGGUGUACCUGUUGUGCCGCCAGGCGCAGAUGCAGGGUAGCCACGUCGGGUCGUGAUAAGCGCUGAAAGCAUCUAAGCGCCAAGCACACCUCAAGAUGAGAUUUCCCAUAUUAGUAAGGACCCAGGAAGACCACCUGGUGAUAGGUCGCAGGUAGAAGCGUGGUAACACGUGCAGCUAAGCGAUACUAAUUGUCCGAGGGCUUACACU
rnacentral:rRNA from 1 species